rnacentral:rRNA from 1 species
AUGGAGGCGGCUUUGGUGAGCGCGGCGACGGGGGUCCUCAAACCUGUCUUGGCGAAGCUGGCCACUCUGCUCGGCGACGAGUACAAGCGUUUCAAGGGAGUGCGCAAGGAGAUCAGGUUCCUCAUGGAUGAACUUGACGCCAUGCACGCCUUUCUCCUCAAAAUGUCAGAGGACGAGGACCCUGAUUUGCAAGAUAAAGUUUGGGCAGCGGCGGUGAGGGAGCUCUCCUACGAUAUGGAGGACACCAUAGACGACUUCAUGCAAAACGUCGAUGACAAAGACGCCAAGCCAGAUGGCUUCAUUGAGAAGAUCAAGCACUCGCUAGGGAAGUUGGGGAAGAUGAAGACUCGCCAUCGGAUUGGUAGCGAGAUCCACGAUAUGAAGAAGCUAGUCAUUGAGGUGGCCGAUAGGAAUGCAAGGUAUAGGACUGGUGUGACUAUCUCCAACUCCAAGAAUGCGGCCGUUGACCCUCGAGCUCUUGCUAUCUUUGAGCAUGCCUCUAAGCUUGUGGGAAUUGACGAGCCCAAGGCUGAGAUAAUCAAAUUGUUGACUGAAGGCGCGUCAACAGAUGAGCAACCGAAGCUGGUCUCCAUCGUAGGAUCUGGAGGAAUGGGCAAGACAACUCUUGCAAACCAAGUGUAUCAAGACCUCAAAGAGAAAUUCGAGUGCAAGGCUUUCGUAUCGGUGUCACGAAAUCCUGACAUGACGAGUAUCUUGAGAACCAUUCUUGAUCAAGUUAGACAAGGUUGUACUAACACUGAAGCAGGGAGCAUACAACAACUGAUAAGCAAGAUUAAUGAUUGCCUAGCAAAUAAAAGGUAC